rnacentral:lncRNA from 1 species
UAAGGACUAGGGGCUAUAAGGGCCAUUUUUGGCCCCACCCCCAAAUUCCAUUUAAUUUGUCAUGUUGUAAGUCUAUACCAUAGACCUUCUGAAAAUAAUCGAAUUUUGGGUCUAGCUCGUUUAUUCUGUUGCCUAGCAACCACUAAAAUGGCGGAGUUAAACUCAUCAAAUAUGAUUAUUAUACAGCUUAAAUAUAUCUAUAUUUGAAAUUGAACCUGUUUAGCAUGUAGUGAACUUUACACUUGUACACUAUUUAAAUAUUACAUAAUUAAUUGCACAUUUUUGCCAAUUCACUGUUGUUUCUCCCUAGCAACAUAUCUGUGCCCAUGGCAACCGCGAUUUGUUUUUUCUAUUUACAAGAUUUAAUUUUAAAUAUAUUGAAACAGAAAGGCAAUUUAAGAUGUAAAUUGUAAAAAGAAACAAACUCCAAGGUAAAUAUUAAGGGGGAAAGCAAUAUUGAAACACCAACAAACAAAACAAAACACCGGGUAUUGCUGAUAUAUACAGAUUGUGCAUCUGAUGCUGGGUGGGGUCUCACUUAUCAGCGACAAGAAGAAUAAUAUAAAGACAAGACACAUUUAGCGCUUAGAAAUCUUAAUAUUGAUUAUCUUAAAUAAAUAGAUACAGACACAUGCAUUAAAGGGUGUUUUCAAAAGUCAGUGUAUUUCCAUGACAGUAGUUAUGUUUCCGGAAGGGGUUGGGGUUGAAGGGGGGCACUUCUAUUUACACCUUUUUAAGCUUGAAUAAGUGAAAAGUUGAGAAAACUAUCAGAUAUAUAUGAUAUAACUUUUUUUCCUACGCAAUUUAUGAAAAGGUAUAUAUUUUUAAAAUGUAAAACUGGGUAAGGUGACAAAACAGCGGCACCCCCUAUCAAUUAAGUAUUGAAGUACCCC